GCCUUCUUUAGAGGAUAAGGUUGUUAGUUGGCAUCAGUAUAGGCUGUUCUCAAGCCAAGGCCAAGUGAGUGUCCUUAAAAUGCAGAGAGGAGGGAGAAAGGAGGGAGAAAGGGUUUUGGCAGAUAUCUUAUUAAAUGAAAUCUCUAAACAAACACAACAAUAAAUCCCACUUGAUAAUAAGUGACGCAUCUACAGCAAACUCCAGAAAGGUUGUUCGUUGAGUGGGUUCAUAGUAAAGGUGGCAGGUAGCCUCGCAGUUAGAGCGUUGGGCUAGUAUGUGAAAGGUCACUGGUUUGAAUUCCCAAGCAGACAAGGUGAAAAAUCGGUUGAUGUGCCCUUGAGCAAGGCAGUUACCCCUAAUUCUCUCCAGGGGUGUUGUACUACUAUGGCUGACUGGUUAAAACAACACUGCAUCCAUCCAGUGUAUGUGACAAUAAAACAUAUUUUUUAUGAUUAUUUGGGUAAGGCUUUGUAGGGGAGAGUGGGGUAAGUUGAGCCACCCUUGUUUCUAGGAAACCAUACACAAAAUGAAUUAUUUGACCAAAUAUUUAGGAAGAGGUCAUUUCAUGGACUCCGUGAAGGGAUAAACUACACUGAAAAAGUGGGACAGGAGAAACUGUAUCUAGGCCAACCUGCAUCUCCACCAGUAUUUGAGUGGAGGAUACUGUCUGCAAUGGAAAAAAGGUCAACACGGUGCAACAGUCCACUCCCAUUAUGGAAAUGCAUCCCAAAAUUCUCCAAAAUCCACCAUAUCCCAAGUCUCAUCUUAAAGUAGGUUUUGUCAAGGACAAGCAAGCAGACCACGAACAAUUAAACUCUAAACCGGACACACAAAGAUCCCACAUCUACACAGGUCUAUUUUAAAAGCCUCCUACUCCCUAGCAGAAACAGCAGAAGAGAUGUUGGACACAUCAGUGUGGUAGUAGACCGAGGGUGAAGUCAAACAUCACACGCUACACGAUCUCACUGCAUUGACACAAUGGGCCGGCGACACCUCCAUUUGCCAAGGCUUCGCCUGCUGGUCCCUCAGCUUCGACAGGGGUGUUGACUCACAGCUGAUAUGAAUGAGGUGGAAAGCCCCCACACAAUACAGUGAUUCUAUGCUAACGGCCGUGGAUUGAACCUGUGACUCAUGCCAGCGCUACAUUAAAGAAAGCACAGAGGGGGUGUCUGGCCAUGAUCGGGUCUCGCUAAACGUCACCCAGAAUUCCCGUGGGAUGUGCUUUGGGCUUAGAGUCUCAGAACAGGCAGCGGAGGCUGAUUUCUGAAUGGAUUUACAAGUGAAUAUAACUUUAUAUUGGUGAUUCACUUAUAAGAGGUGGUAUUUAUUUUCAUACGUUUUCUAUUCAUACUGUGAUGACAUUUAGUAUGAACGGAAGUCUGCAACACUGUUGUCAUCUGUACAGGGUACAAGCCUCCAAGGAGGUCAGUCACAAAUGUAUUCUUCUUCCUCCCAUGAGUUUCAAAUCAGGACAUUACAUGGCCAAGAUGAACAUGUCGGACCAGCAACACAGCACAUACUCAGGCGCAGUGUAAACACAUUAUCAAUAUGGCUGGUAUGUAUCUGCAGGGUUGGGAAGUACUGUAACUGAUUACAUGUAUACAAAUAAAGAAACGGUAUCAGUUAUGAUACCAGCAAAAAUAUUGUAAUCAGAUUACAGAUACUCUUGAAAAACUAUAGUUACUUCUUGGAUUACAUUUUAAUUCAGAAAGGCUAAUUGCGAGGGGAAAAAAAGACAUUCAAUUAAGCAAAUGUAAGUUUGUUGUUCCACCACUAUGGUGACACCAAAUGCAUUUGAUGGAUCCUUUUUGUCUAAUCCAAAAGUAACUGAAAGUAGUCAGAUUACAUUAUUGAUUACAAUUUUCGACAGGUAACUAAUAAAUGUAACCUACCCAACCCUAUUAUCUGACACCAUAAAGUCUCACUAAUAAACUCCCCAGCAGGAAAUGGCAGCAGGGUUCUCCAGUGUUUGCAGAGCAAAAGACAGGUAUUAUUAGAGGGGCACCUCAUCUUCACCUCACUUCACACACUCGUCACUGUACCUCCACCUUGUGUCCCACCACUCUCCUCACUGUCACUGUACCUCCACUUUGUGUCCCACCACUCUCCUCACUGUACCUCCACCUUGUGUACCACCACUCUCUCUCUCACUCUGUUUACACACAUCCCUCUAUCUAUUCAACCUUCACUCUUAUGUGCCUGCAUACUUUAGGGAACGCCACAUUCACACACACACACUGUAAUUCACGCACAGAUGCAGACACACACACACACACACACACACACACAUUUGUUUUACUAUCCUUGUGGGUACCAAACAAUUUAUUCUCUUUCAAAAUCCUAUUUCCCUAGCCCCUAAACCUAACCCUUUCCUUAAACUAAACCCUAAUUCUAACCUUUAAUUGUAAUCCUAAGCCUAAAAUAGCCUUUUUCCUUGUGGGGACCAGCAAAAUGUCCCCACAAUGAUAGUGUGUGUGUACACACACACACACACAUCUUCCUCUGGAGGGAUUUCAAUCCAUCUGUGCUUUGAGAGACAUGUCUAUGUCCUGCUUUUUUUUCAACUAGGGAAGUCGGUUAAGAAAAAAUUAUUAUUUACAAUGACUUGUUCAGGGGCAGAACAACAUUGUUUUACCUUGUUAGCUCGGGGAUUCAAUCUAGCAACCUUUCAGUUACUGGCCCAACGCUCUAACCACUAGGCUACCUGCCGCUCCUACAUAUGACCAAGCCUGUCCUGUCUUCAAGGCUCCCCACUUUGUUAGAUAUCAGAUUGCAUUUAUUUCAGGAUAAUCCAAUGGAAAUAGUAACAAGACAAGGCUGUCGAAUCUCCAAAGGCCUUUUAUACGGUAGUUGCUUUUCAACCCAUCAUGCUUUUUCUCUUAGCCUUCCCACCCCUACAAGGGGCUAGCUCUCGCUCAUCCCAGGCAAAGCUCUUCUAUGUCCUGGCACUCAAAUAGUGGGACAAGCUUCCCCUUCAUGUCAGAACAGCUGAGUCCCUGCCCAUCUCCCGAAAACGUUUGAAAGCCCACCUCUUCAAAGAGUGUGUGUGUAUAUAUAUAUGACCUCCUUGGAUAGACAAAAGGCUUGUACCCUGUACAGAUGACAACAGUGUUGCAGUACAUAUAUAAAAACCCUUGUCUUGUUUGCAGUAAAACUCGCACUUGUCUUUGCUCACUAGCACUGGCUUUGUUGAUAGCUACUUUAUUGAAGAAAAAUAUACUUACUGUGAUUAUGUGGUUGUCUCCCCUGGCUAUCUUAAGAUGGAUGUAAGUCGAUCUGGAUAAGAGCAUUUGCUAAAAUGUAAUGUAAACGCAACCCACUCAAGAAUUAUUAACCAUGCCUGUGUUUUUCCCAAACUAAUUUUGCCUGUGUUUUUCCCAAACUUAUUUUGUGUUCUGUAACCUGGACUUGGACAUGACCUAGAGGGGCGGCAGGUAGCCUAGUGGUUAGAGCAUUGGGCCAGUAACUGAAAGGUUGUUAGAUCGAAUCCCUGAGCUGACAAGAUAAAAAUCUGUCGUUCUAGGCAGUUAACCCACUGUUCCUUG
rnacentral:lncRNA from 1 species